CCCCGAGCUGUCUGAGGGAGAGGAGCUGCAUGCGGCCAUUUCCAUUCUCUCCCUUCCGCUUCUCUAGUGGAUAAUUCCUGCUGGCCAUUUAACACUCAAGCCGGAGUGCUGGGAAAGGAAGAGCACGGUCCCUUUAAAUGAUACGGAAGCCGGGAAGGAAAGCGCGGGGUAGAAAGGGCAGAGUCCGUGACUAGGCCUCUAGCCCCAGGGACCUAGGCGAGGACAGGCACUCCUGCUUUUCCAAGAGCACCCUGGCCCGCCACGCCCCCAGCCUGGGCCUAUAAACACCCACGACCCUAGCAAGGCAGAGACAGAAGCUGCUGGAGGGCGAGAGGAACGCAUCAGUGGAAGAAGACAGAAGCGGCUGGUCACGGAGAGCAUGUCAGCAGAAGAACACACCUACAGACGCCGGCUCGCCCGCGGGCUCCCCGGCAGGCCAUCGACCGGUGGGACGAGGUGGAGUUUGUCCUGGGCAGUAGGAGGACAGCCCGGGCACCCAGCGGCCCAACUCCAGGGGAAAGCCAUCUCCCUUCUGGAGCUGCCCAACUCCGGGGGAAAACCAUCUCCUUUCUGACUCUCCUGUCGGUGGAGAGUUACUUCCACUCAAUACGAUUUUGCAGUCAUUCUCCAAGCCCACGUGUGAUCCGAUUCUUCCGGUACACCAAGGCAAGAACCCGGGAUACAGAAAGCCCUCUGGCCUUAUGACAAGGUAGAGGGUCUAACUGAGCUAUAGACCGUGAACUAAGAGCGCACCCUGGAACACACGCCCUCUGGGGCUUCAGCUGUAAACAUCCACCCUUAGACACUGCCAUGGGGUUGGAGCCCCACAACCUGCCCAUCUCUAUGCCCCACUAGAGGUAUGACCAACGGGGCACUGAAGAGGCGAGCACACCCCAUCGCACGCCCUGCAAGGGGGACGGGGGAACCUUUCCCAUUUCAACACCACCGCUGUGGCUGCAUGUGGCUGCCAUAAGAAAAAGAACCCAUUCUUUGGCACAGCUGAAGCAGGACUCUUCUCGUUGUUCUCCAGAGAAAUCUCCAGAGGCCCCUCCAGCUGUUCAGCUGGCUGUUAAUCAGCACAGUGAUGCAGAAACUGACUGUGGCCAGGGGAAACAUUAUGUGGAAGAAUUCGAGAGGACAGCACCAUGAUACCACAUGCAAGCUUAGCAUGGUUGGCCCAUCACCUAAACACAGAGACCUCAUAAUUCAAUGAGAAAUAAGAGUCUGGCUGGCCUGGAACGUGCCAUGACUGUACAAUAUGAUAGGAGGGAGACUGUACCAGCUCCAAGCCAGCUUUUCUGAUACCUGCAGCUUCUGAUUCCUCUGGAGGAGAAGUCAGCUACUAGGUAAGAAGUCAACUCACACUGAGGCCGCCAUGCAGGGAGGAAGCCUAAGCCAGCCCAGUGGGGAGGCCAUGUGGUGGACAACUGAGGAACCCAGUGGACAGGGCAAAUUGAGACCCCAGACAUGAAACCAGCUGAGUCAUCCCAGUCCUUUGUAUGAUUGCAGCCACGGCUCCCAUUAUUGUGGCUCAGAGAUGAUCCAUAUCCCCUCUCCCCUGAGCAAAUUCUCAUCCAAAGAAUCAUGAGGAACUAAAAUGGUUGUUCUUUCAUGUUACUAUGUUUAGAGGUGGUUUGUUCCAUUACAAUAGACAGCUGAAGCAAGCAUGCAGAACCUUACUUUCCAGAAAUGGAGAAGGACAGUGGAGGGUUUGUGUGGAUGAGAAGCAAACACAAAUAUUUCUUUCCCUUUGUGGCUGAGAAGUAUUGCAGGUGCAGUUUUAAAAGCCCCAUGGAUAAACAGCUCAUGUAGGUCCAGGUCCAGGCUUUGAAUGCACUACAGUUCCCUUGUUGGAAGCACCAGCCUCAAAGCGAAUAAAGCAAAUGUAUUGAUCACCCUGUAUGCCACUGAGUGACAUGGAAGGUUUUAACAAGAGACCAUCUCCUCUACCUCACUGUGAACUGAAGAAAGACAAACCACAACUCCUUGGAACUUCAUUUUCCCCUAGUAUGGAGACAUUCUUAUCCUGGGACAACUCCACUGUCUUAUUGAAAGCAUCAAAUAAGAUAACUCUGGGUGAAAGUGUUUUAUACACUGUAAAGUGUCGUACAGACCUGGUGACUUUCUAGAUCCUAUUUUGAAGAAAAAACAAUUAUUCAGACCUUGAAUUACAGCAGAACUAAGAAAUAGGAGGUAGGCUGGCAUAAGACCUAAGAUUGUGUGUGUGCAGAGCAACGGUCUGGGCUGACACCUUGGCUCUUCUAUUUAUUUCCUGCAUGGCCUGAAGAAUGUGACUUUAUUUCUCUGUACCUUACUUUGCUUAUCUAUAAAAUAAGGAUGAUAAUACCCACCUCUCAUCAUGCCAUAAAACUUACAUAAGCAAAUACCUGUGAAGUGCUUCAAACAAUGCCUGGCACAUAGCAAUUGUGCUGCUAUUUUAACUAUAAUAAUAAUUUAAGGCUUUCAAUAUCUUUAUGGUCCUCCAAACACUUUGUUCUGACAACAGAGUGGUUGUCAUAAAAUUUAAAACUUGGAAUGACCUUACUAUUGAUUAAUCUAACCCAACCCUCUCCCGGUAUCAUCAAUAGCCUCAUCAAUCGCCCCUCAUGCUUGCACAUUUUCUGAAAUGGGAACUCACUGUCUCCCUGGUAGCCUCUAUCCUUGUUGUGGGGCUCUGAUAAUUUGCUUCAAGUAAGUGUCCAACACUGAAGUUGCUGAGUCAGACGGCAUAUUCACUUACAAGCCUUUCAAUUCUAAUUCCCAAUGUGUCCUUAAGAAAGGUGAUAUUCAUAUACAGUACUACUCAUAAAGUGCCCAAUUCAACACAACCUGAAGCAAGGAGAGUUGGAUUAAAAGCCACUUUCUAAUUUGAUCAACAGAACAAUAACUAUUCUUCUUUCCUAUUUUAUAUUCAUUAUAGUACUAAUGAAACUAAGUAUUUUUUCUCAAAUAUUUACUGCCUUACUUUUUCCAUUUUGACUUGCCUGUUAAUGUCCUUUAUCUAUUUAUUUGAUGCAUUUGCUUUUACCUUGAUUAAUUUAUAGAUUCCCUGUCUUAAGCAUACUCGUUCUUUGUUAAAAAGUUUGAAAAUAGUUUUCCCAACAUGUCAUUUAAAUUUUAGUUUUGAUUUUGGUCUAAUGUGAUAAACAGAUAUUUUAAACUGUUUUGUAGCUAAGUUAUUUUUUAUGGUUUAUUCUUUAGCUUGUAUGAUACAGAAGCCUUCCUUGCCUAUACAUCACAUCAAUAUUCACUUCUGGGUUUCUCUCUGCUCAUUAUAGGGGAUUUCAUUUUGACAUGACAACUAAUGCAUUUUGUGGCACUAAAGCCCAUAAGGUUAUCCUUCUCUCAUUCCAUUAAGACCAGGGGGUCUUUAUUGCUUCACAAAGGAAGGGCAGUUAAAAGGGAAAUAAGACACGGAAAUAUGGGAGUGUGUGUCGCUGAGAAGGGUCCCGCUUUCAGCCUUCUAUCUUCCCUCAACAAUCCUGAGCCUUUACCUGGUAUGUCCCAGGACAGAAACAGAGUCCUGCUGUCUUUCCCAGGGAAUGUCAUGGAGGGGUGCCAAGGCUUCAAUAAUUUGUUCUAAAAAUGGCUUUGGAGAAAGAUGUCAUGAUGUGUUUUUAGCUAGUUGCGCCUGAGACAGCUACAGACUUUAAUCUCAUCAAGUGCAGUGACUGGAGCAGCCAAAUAUUUUUCAUAAGAAAAAUGGGCAAGAAAUGACUGCAAGAAAGCCCAGGAGGUAUAUGCUUUCUCAUCAGGGCAAAGACUGAAUCCUCAGCACUGUCUAAGCUGUCACAUAAUACAUAGACAUAAGUCCUGGACCAUUACCAGAGAGAGACACAGAGAUGACUGAGAAAACUUAAAAUAAAAAAAAAAAGAUUAAAAGAGCCCCAUCAGGUCAAUACCUAGAUGUCGGCCUUGUGAGACUGAACAGAGAACCUCGUCAUGUCUGCCUGGACUUCUGGCCCCCAGAACCACGAGCUCAUAAAUUGUAAGCCUCCAAAUUUACG
rnacentral:lncRNA from 10 species